rnacentral:misc_RNA from 1 species
CGUAACAAGGUUUCCGUAGGUGAACCUGCGGAAGGAUCAUUAUCAAAACAGCGGACUUCGGUCCUUGCUGCACCCUUGUCUUUUGCGUACCGUAUGUUUCCUCGGCGGGCUUGCCUGCCGGUUGGACAAUAUCAAACCUUUUUGUAGUUGCAAUCAGCGUCAGAAAACAAAUAAUAAUUACAACUUUCAACAACGGAUCUCUUGGUUCUGGCAUCGAUGAAGAACGCAGCGAAAUGCGAAAAGUAGUGUGAAUUGCAGAAUUCAGUGAAUCAUCGAAUCUUUGAACGCACAUUGCGCCCCUUGGUAUUCCAUGGGGCAUGCCUGUUCGAGCGUCAUUUUGUACCCUCAAGCACUGCUUGGUGUUGGGCGUUUGUCCUGCAAAGGACUCGCCUGAAAGCGAUUGGCGGCCAACGUACUGGUGGUAGAGCGCAGCACAAUUUGCGUCUCUCCCUUCUACGUCGGCGUCCAUGAAGCCUUAUUCAAACGUUUGACCUCGGAUCAGGUAGGGAUACCCGCUGAACUUAAGCAUAUCAAUAA